CGGGACACGUGGUAUCCUGUCUGAAUAUGGGGGGACCAUCCUCCAAGGCUAAAUACUCCUGACUGACCGAUAGUGAACCAGUACCGUGAGGGAAAGGCGAAAAGAACCCCGGCGAGGGGAGUGAAAAAGAACCUGAAACCGUGUACGUACAAGCAGUGGGAGCCUCUUAAUGGGGUGACUGCGUACCUUUUGUAUAAUGGGUCAGCGACUUAUAUUCUGUAGCAAGGUUAACCGAAUAGGGGAGCCGAAGGGAAACCGAGUCUUAACUGGGCGUUAAGUUGCAGGGUAUAGACCCGAAACCCGGUGAUCUAGCCAUGGGCAGGUUGAAGGUUGGGUAACACUAACUGGAGGACCGAACCGACUAAUGUUGAAAAAUUAGCGGAUGACUUGUGGCUGGGGGUGAAAGGCCAAUCAAACCGGGAGAUAGCUGGUUCUCCCCGAAAGCUAUUUAGGUAGCGCCUCGUGAAUUCAUCUCCGGGGGUAGAGCACUGUUUCGGCAAGGGGGUCAUCCCGACUUACCAACCCGAUGCAAACUGCGAAUACCGGAGAAUGUUAUCACGGGAGACACACGGCGGGUGCUAACGUCCGUCGUGAAGAGGGAAACAACCCAGACCGCCAGCUAAGGUCCCAAAGUCAUGGUUAAGUGGGAAACGAUGUGGGAAGGCCCAGACAGCCAGGAUGUUGGCUUAGAAGCAGCCAUCAUUUAAAGAAAGCGUAAUAGCUCACUGGUCGAGUCGGCCUGCGCGGAAGAUGUAACGGGGCUAAACCAUGCACCGAAGCUGCGGCAGCGACGUUUAUGCGUUGUUGGGUAGGGGAGCGUUCUGUAAGCCUGCGAAGGUGUACUGUGAGGUAUGCUGGAGGUAUCAGAAGUGCGAAUGCUGAC
rnacentral:rRNA from 1 species